UUAUCUUGUUUUCCUUUCUCUUUUCUCUCUAUCUUCUCUGUUUCUACCGGGCUGGCCUUCAGCAGAUGGGUCCCUCCAUAUGAGCUGGGUUCAGCUGGGGGGGGCUAUGGCUCAGUAGGUAAAGUGGGAUGUCCAUGAACCGAACGGUUAGCGGCUAUAUAAGAGCAAGACCAAAAAAAAAACAAACGAUCACAGUGCUACAUUUGACUCUACUGGCCUCAUCAACCAGCCCGGUUUUCAUGGUCUGGAGUGCUGUGUAUCAGACCUGUGGAGCUCCAUAAACUACGUCUGCCCCAGUCUUCAUGGCCUCCUCCAGUUGUUCACUCUUACCAGAUGAACAAUUCCCCAACCUGCCCAUGAUUCCUGUUAUACUCUCAAACUGUCUCAUAGAUCAUCAGCUAUGUGUUAUAUUACUAGAUCCUACAUGUUUCCUUCAACCGUCGCCCUCAGGCUUGCUCUGGAGGUUGCAGGCUGGUUUUUGUAAAGCAUCUUGAGACAAUUUGUAUUGUUAUUGGCGCUAUAUAAAUAAAAUUGAAUUGAAUCGAAUCUUGUAUUUGUACUUGCAGCAAAAAUGAGUCCGUUGGCUCAGGAUUUGGCUGUGGCUGUUGUUAACACUGGCAAAUGCUUGUGGUUUUAUGUGUGUUUACUUUUAUGUGCAACAAAGCUACGGUGACAAAGUAAUUUCCCUCGUGGAUCAUUUAAGUCUGUCUGAGUUUAAGUCAAUUGUUGUGGAUUCCUGAUCGUGGGGAAUGUUAGCAUUAGCAUAUACAUUAAUUUUGCCAGUUAACGCAUAUUUGUAUAACAGUGUUUUCGGUAUAUAAAAUUAAUUUGUAAA